rnacentral:rRNA from 1 species
AACGAACGCUGGCGGCAGGCCUAACACAUGCAAGUCGAACGCCGUAGCAAUACGGAGUGGCAGACGGGUGAGUAACACGUGGGAACGGGCACAAAGGUACGGAACAACUCCGGGAAACUGGAGCUAAUACCGUAUGUGCCCGAGAGGGGAAAGAUUUAUUGCCUUUGGAUCGGCCCGCGUCUGAUUAGCUAGUUGGUGAGGUAAUGGCUCACCAAGGCGACGAUCAGUAGCUGGUCUGAGCGGAUGGCCAGCCACACUGGGACUGAGACACGGCCCAGACUCCUACGGGAGGCAGCAGUGGGGAAUAUUGGACAAUGGGCGCAAGCCUGAUCCAGCCAUGCCGCGUGAGUGAUGAAGGCCCUAGGGUUGUAAAGCUCUUUCGCCAGGGACGAUAAUGACGGUACCUGGAUAAGAAGCCCCGGCUAACUUCGUGCCAGCCGCCGCCGUAACAC